AAGGCGUAGCAAGGUUUCUGUAGGUGAACCUGCGGAAGGAUCAUUAACACGUAUCCAAACGUUAAAACCCCCCCCGUGAACCUUCAUCCUGCUCUUGUAACCCGCGUAGUUCGCAAUCUCUGAUAAACCAUAGCCCGGAAAGUUGUAGUGAUUCAGAGACCUCUGGCUACGUGCGAACAUUGGAACAGUUACAAUCGAGCGGUAGUUCUAUAGGCAUUGUUUCCCCAAGCAGUCAGUAGAUUCCUGUAGACCGUACACUCGGGCAGGAGCUUUGCCGAAGGGUCCCCAUGCCCCCUAAUAACCCCACAGUUUAAUGUGAAGCUCAAUGUAAUACAUUGGGUAAAAAAACCGAACAACUGUUAACAAUGGAUAUCUUGGUUCUC
rnacentral:misc_RNA from 1 species